AUCAAGUUUGAGUCCUAAACAGGACGAAACGCGCGUCCUGGAU
rnacentral:hammerhead_ribozyme from 1 species